rnacentral:lncRNA from 1 species
AGCUUGCCCACUGCGCAGGCGUGCCCCGAAAGACCAGCUUGAACAAUGAAGAGGACCUCGGCGUUAGGUGGGACCGCAACCAACAAGGACUACAGUUCCCAGCGGGCAGAGCGCCAACUCCAAGUGAAGGUCCGGUUGCUGGGCAUGCUAGGAGUUGUAGUGUCGGCCGCCUUUACAAUCUAGGCUGUUUGGAAGAUUUAGAGCUUCUAUUUCUUGAAGAUUUAUUCGACCGUUUUAAAAAAUCUCGCAACUGAAGCAGGGUUCAGAGUUUACUAUCUGCGUCCUUGAGUAGCCUGGGGAUCAACUGCUGCAUAUUAGCAAAUUUCGAAGCGUCAAGGCCUUCAGUGAGCCCUUUCUGUCAUUUGGGUGGUCCAGGCAGCUGAAGAGUGGGAUGGAGGCGGGACUAAACCAGGCUGGGCUGGAGGAAAAGGGCGGGGCCUGCAAGCCUGUCUCUUGGCAGCAGGCUCUGGCAGCCAAACCGUCCAAGCUAGCGCCUGGAGCGCAGUGGUUUCUGGGAAUUGUAGUGUAACUGGAAGGCCCUGAGGAUUGUCGAGCU